rnacentral:rRNA from 1 species
AGCUGUGGCGGCAGGCUUAACACAUGCAAGUCGAGCGCACCCUUCGGGUCUAGCGGCGGACGGGUUAGUAACGCGUGGGAACGUACCCAGCUCUGCGGAAUAGCCUCUGGAAACGGAGAGUAAUACCGCAUACGCCCUUUGGGGGAAAGAUUUAUCGGAGUUGGAUCGGCCCGCGUUAGAUUAGGUAGUUGGUGGGGUAACGGCCUACCAAGCCUACGAUCUAUAGCUGGUUUGAGAGGAUGAUCAGCAACACUGGGACUGAGACACGGCCCAGACUCCUACGGGAGGCAGCAGUGGGGAAUCUUCGGCAAUGGGCGAAAGCCUGACCGAGCCAUGCCGCGUGAGCGAUGAAGGCCUUAGGGUUGUAAAGCUCUUUCGCCAGGGAUGAUAAUGACAGUACCUGGUAAAGAAACCCCGGCUAACUCCGUGCCAGCAGCCGCGGUAAUACGGAGGGGGUUAGCGUUGUUCGGAAUUACUGGGCGUAAAGCGCGCGUAGGCGGACCAGAAAGUUAGGGGUGAAAUCCCGGGGCUCAACCCCGGAACUGCCUCUAAAACUCCUGGUCUUGAGUUCGAGAGAGGUGAGUGGAAUUCCGAGUGUAGAGGUGAAAUUCGUAGAUAUUCGGAGGAACACCAGUGGCGAAGGCGGCUCACUGGCUCGAUACUGACGCUGAGGUGCGAAAGUGUGGGGAGCAAACAGGAUUAGAUACCCUGGGUAGUCCACACCGUAAACGAUGAAUGCCAGACGUCGGGUAGCAUGCUAUUCGGUGUCACACCUAACGGAUUAAGCAUUCCGCCUGGGGAGUACGGUCGCAAGAUUAAAACUCAAAGGAAUUGACGGAAGG